UACAGAGGUCUCAAGCGUUGUCCGGAUUUAUUGGGCGUAAAGAGCGUGUAGGCGGCCUGACAAGUCUGCUGUGAAAACUCGAGGCUCAACCUCGAGAUGUCGGCGGAAACUGUCUGGCUAGAGUCCGGAAGAGGAGAGUGGAAUUCCUGGUGUAGCGGUGAAAUGCGCAGAUAUCAGGAAGAACACCUAUGGCGAAGGCAGCUCUCUGGG
rnacentral:rRNA from 1 species